GUUUACAACUCGUGUAUCUUUACGUCACGCAACCAUGUUUACAUAAUCUCAUCCAAACACGCCUCUAGGCCGAUCGGAGCGCGCGUACUAUCUUCAUAAUUAUUUCAUAAUGAACUUUGACGGGUAAAGUCAAAGUAAGAUCGACCUGCGGAAGGAAAAAUUUUAAAAAGUGCCCUAGUGAGGUGUGGAAGUCCAAGAUGAUUCAGGCUCUGAUGAUUCAGAAGUUGCCAAUCCAGUCGAGCGAGACAGGCAUGGGGAUGCCAAUAAUUAUAACAGCAGUGAAGAAGAUGGUUCUGACAUAAUCACAGUAGCGUCUGAUAAUGAGGGGAAUAUCGGAGAUCAACACUUGGAUAUUAGCAGUGAUGAAGAAGGACUGGAAAGACCAGCUUUCAAUUCCACACCACAGCAUUCAUCAAGGUAUGGCAACCGUGCCAUACACACUCUGUCAGGCACGUCUCUUAGUGGCGACACAGAGGUUUUCGUUAAUUCUUUAUAUGAUUCAGUGAUAUGCUCAAGGGAGAGGGCCGAACCAUGCAAUUUCCUCAAUGCCUGUGAAG